rnacentral:rRNA from 1 species
CCUACGGGAGGCAGCAGUGGGGAAUAUUGCGCAAUGGGCGAAAGCCUGACGCAGCGACGCCGCGUGAGUGAAGAAGGCCUUCGGGUUGUAAAGCUCUGUCAGAGGGAACGAAUAAGGCUGGCAACACCAGCCCUUGACGGUACCCUCGAAGGAAGCACUGGCUAACUCCGUGCCAGCAGCCGCGGUAAUACGGAGAGUGCAAGCGUUGUUCGGAAUUAUUGGGCGUAAAGCGCGUGUAGGCGGUUCAACAAGUCUGGCGUGAAAGCCUAGGGCUCAACCCUGGAAGUGCGCUGGAAACUGUCGAACUUGAGUACUGGAGGGGAAGGUGGAAUUCUCGAGUGUAGAGGUGAAAUUCGUAGAUAUUCGGAAGAACAUCAGUGGCGAAGGCGACCUUCUGGACAGAUACUGACGCUGAGACGCGAAAGCAUGGAAAGCAAACAGGAUUAGAUACCCUGGUAGUCCACGCUGUAAACGAUGGAUGNUAGUUGUCGUCGGUACCGAACCUACGCGGUACGAACGACGUACGACGAUAAGACACUACCGCCGUCGGGUAGUUACGGCCGGACCGAACGGACGUAAAACGUUAAAACGGUAAAGUUAGUACGGACGUAGAGACGUACGACCGACGGACGACGACGAGGGAGGAGG